CCUACGGGUGGCUGCAGUGGGGAAUAUUGGACAAUGGGCGCAAGCCUGAUCCAGCCAUGCCGCGUGAGUGAUGAAGGCCUUAGGGUUGUAAAGCUCUUUUGCCGGGGACGAUAAUGACGGUACCCGGAGAAUAAGUCCCGGCUAACUUCGUGCCAGCAGCCGCGGUAAUACGAAGGGGACUAGCGUUGUUCGGAAUCACUGGGCGUAAAGCGCACGUAGGCGGAUCAUUGAGUCAGAGGUGAAAUCCCGGGGCUCAACCUCGGUACUGCCUUUGAUACUGAUGGUCUCGAGUCCGAUAGAGGUGGGUAGAAUUCCUAGUGUAGAGGUGAAAUUCGUAGAUAUUAGGAAGAAUACCGGUGGCGAAGGCGGCCCACUGGAUCGGUACUGACGCUGAGGUGCGAAAGCGUGGGGAGCAAACAGGAUUAGAUACCCCAGUAGUC
rnacentral:rRNA from 1 species